GACGAACGCUGGCGGCGUGCCUAAUACAUGCAAGUAGAACGCACAGUUUAUACCGUAGCUUGCUACACCAUAGACUGUGAGUUGCGAACGGGUGAGUAACGCGUAGGUAACCUGCCUGGUAGCGGGGGAUAACUAUUGGAAACGAUAGCUAAUACCGCAUAAUAUUAAUUAUUGCAUGAUAAUUAAUUGAAAGGUGCAAUUGCACCACUACCAGAUGGACCUGCGUUGUAUUAGCUAGUAGGUGAGGUAACGGCUCACCUAGGCGACGAUACAUAGCCGACCUGAGAGGGUGAUCGGCCACACUGGGACUGAGACACGGCCAGACUCCUACGGGAGGCAGCAGUAGGGAAUCUUCGGCAAUGGACGAAAGUCUGACCGAGCAACGCCGCGUGAGUGAAGAAGGUUUUCGGAUCGUAAAGCUCUGUUGUAAGAGAAGAACGGGUGUGAGAGUGGAAAGUUCACACUGUGACGGUAGCUUACCAGAAAGGGACGGCUAACUACGUG
rnacentral:rRNA from 1 species